UGGGGAAUAUUGGACAAUGGGGGGAACCCUGAUCCAGCCAUGCCGCGUGUGUGAAGAAGGCCUUAUGGUUGUAAAGCACUUUAAGCGAGGAGGAGGGUACUGGUAUUAAUACUACCAGGUACUGGACGUUACUCGCAGAAUAAGCACCGGCUAACUCUGUGCCUGCAGCCGCGGUAAUACAGAGGGUGCGAGCGUUAAUCGGAUUUACUGGGCGUAAAGCGUGCGUAGGCGGCUAAUUGAGUCGGAUGUGAAAUCCCCGAGCUUAACUUGGGAAUUGCAUUCGAUACUGGUUAGCUAGAGUGUGGGAGAGGAUGGUAGAAUUCCAGGUGUAGCGGUGAAAUGCGUAGAGAUCUGGAGGAAUACCGAUGGCGAAGGCAGCCAUCUGGCCUAACACUGACGCUGAGGUACGAAAGCAUGGGGAGCAAACAGG
rnacentral:rRNA from 1 species